AUGAGAUCUGCCAGAUCACCAUAAAAAUAAGAAGAGCUUCAGUGGAAGAAGAAGUAAAUUAGAACACAGAAAGUAGCCCUCUAGGAAAGGAGAGCAAUGCCUCAUUCCUGAAGUCACUACUUAAUUUCAGAACUCCUUUUGAGAGAUGGCCACCAUAGCUCAGCAUCUGCCAUGCUCUUUUUAUGAUCAAUGAAAGCUUAUUCCUGUUGGAUUUAGCAGUAAACUUGGAAGCCUUCCCAGUGAAGAGCCUCAGCCCGUGGCUAGAAUGGCUUAGGGUCACUUUCCAGGAGAUAGAAGGUCAGAUAAUUGACCAAAGAUGAUACAAAAUCCUUGACAGCUACAAAGAAGCACCCAGAAAAUAAAUACUGUGUACAACCUUCUACUGUGUCUCAAGUGAGCUUCAGAAGUAUUUCAAAGGAAAUUAAGUGUGAAAAGGAACUGGAAGUCCAUACGCAUGAUGUGUAGGUAAGGGAAGCUACCACAUCGGAAACACAUGGUUAAAAGACUCACAUAUAAGAAAAGGCUUUGAUGACAGCAGCUUGGAGUGAAUCCUCAUUGGAGAGCUGGUGUUCACCACAUCAGACAAAGAGCUGGGAAAACAGUGCUGUACCCCUUCCCAGCAGAAGUCUUCUUCCAUGGCUCAGUGGCUGAGCAUCACAUCUCUCACGGGGAACAACACCACUAGCCCCGUGAUGGUGAACAUUGCCUCUUUCAUUCUCUUCUUUUGAUAACUGAGAAAGAAUAAACCUCUGUCCUUGGAUAAUGGAGAUACAGGAUGAGGGAGGAGGCAGCAGCAAAAUUUUCAGCCUUGCUCAACUUCUUUGCUCUCUCUGUGGUCACCUCUGGGGGUCAGUUCAGAGUGAUAUGGAUGCUGUGAACUGCCUUCUGGAGAAUCCAUCUCCAAAGGGAGCCUGGAGACAUCAGCUUCAUGUCCCUCACAUUAGCUUUUGAGAAUAUCAGUACUUGGCUGUAACCCAGGGCACAGGGCUGUGAUGGCUGUGUGAGGCAUCAUCCACUACAGCAUACAGAAGAGAGAGCAGAGGAAGGAACCUCCUUGACCCCUUAAGGCUGUGGACAGCUUUUCCUCCACUCACCCAGGAAAAUACAAGAUAUAGCAUCACCGAGUUCACCACGUGUUUCUCUCUGGCAGGGCUAUGAAGCGUCUGAAGGCAUUCAAGCAUAACGCUGCUCCUCAUGGACAUGAAGUAGCUGAAGCACGCAGGUGCCUGUGCCCCAUGGCACCCCUCUGUCUGGAUCCUUGCCCAGUGUGUCUGACAUCUGUAGAGCUCUUCCACUAAGAGCCACUGUGGCUCCCUAACCCUGCUGGAUCAGGAACAGUGCUCCCUGCAGUUAACACGCUCACUGUCUCCAUCAGUAUGGCUAGCAAUGGAUGUAUGUGUGCCAGAAGCAAUUAAGGGAUGCCAUGCUUUCCUAAACUCACCUACAAUUUCAGUCUGUCUAUUAAUAACCUUAGGUGGAUGUGCUUCAUGGUGCAUCUCUAGCAUGUCCCACGCCAG
ensembl:lncRNA